rnacentral:rRNA from 14 species
GCCAAUCUCAAAAACCUUAUCUCAGUUCGGAUUGCACUCUGCAACUCGAGUGCAUGAAGGUGGAAUCGCUAGUAAUCGCUGGUCAGCAUACAGCGGUGAAUACGUUCCCGGGUCUUGUACACACUGCCCGUCACACCAUGGAAGUCGACUCUUCCCUAAGUCGUUACUCGAACCCAUUGGGACGAGGAUGCCGAAGGCAGGGUUGGUGACUAGGGUGAAGUCGUAACAAGGUAGC